CACGACAUUGGCCAAAAGUGAGUACAACAGGUUCGGUUGAGGACACGUUAAACUGAUGACAAGAGUGCAUUUGGCUCGAGACGUUAUGUCGGUGUGGAAAAACCCAAGCUACCUUAUUUUUUUACUUCUGAAACGUUUCUUAGGAAACAAUUGAUUUCAUCAAAACAUACUAACUCUUAGCAUCGAACCGCGUUGACGGUGAUGAUUGGCGAUCGGUGAUCGGUUCUAUAUAGAAUAUAGAAAUACAUGUGUUCGACUUUG
rnacentral:misc_RNA from 1 species